GUCUCAUUUUAUCUGUAGCUGAACUUUCAGGAAGAUAAGCAGCCCAGACUUGAGUUUCUAGAUGUAUACAACCAGGUGCAUGUCCAAGGCACAGAGGGUGGUAUUUAUAACCCAUAGUAACAUUAAAUGCAGUGUCUUAUUCUCCUGGUUGGGCAGGGCAACAGUUAUCUGUGGCUCCAGGCAUCCACACACUAUUGUUAGUGUAGAUUUCUGCAGAAGCAUCUAUCCAGGUGAGAGGUUGAAUAAGUGGAGGAAAAGGCACAUAAGCCCAAUAAGAAUAUUUAUGUGUAGCAGGUAAAUCAGUGUGAGAGGAAACUGGUGAGACAGAAAGUAUAAGGAGGAGAAUCAUUAAAUAAAACUUAUUGUAAGUGAGAUUCUGAAGAAGGAAGAGAAGAACAGUGUUAAGUAUCCUGGCAAAGGAGCAUUAGGGUUACAGAUAGAAUUGAAGUUGCUCGUCAGCUGAUUGAAGAUAAGGAGAUUGGCCUGGAUUAUCCAGGUAGGCUCAAUGUAAUCAGGAAGGGCCUUUAAAGUGAGAGAGGGAGGCAGAAGAGGAAGUCAGAGCGAUGUGCUGUGAAAUCUACUACCGUUUGCUGGUUUUGAAAAUGGAGAAAAAGAGUGAGGAACUGAGAAACAUGGAUGGCCUUGGGAACGUGGAAAAGGGUCACUGAAAUGGGACGACAUGAACUCAAGGAGGCUAUUUAUGACCAUGUCAUUUGCAACAUGAAGAAAGCUUAUCUGGAGUGAAAGUAAAUGAGACCAACAGAGAUGAGAGACCCGGAGAAAUCCUGGUUACACUGCUUGAAUCCUGUCAGUCCUAUACUGGAGUCCUGUUAAUACAAAAUAAUAGUAAUAAUCCCUCUGUUUCUUAUGUUUAUGCCAACUUCAACAAAAAGAAACUUGACUAAGAGACAAUAUAAGAAUUUAAUGUGUAAUUAAGAAAGAACUCUCCACCACGGGGAAUGUGAAAGACACAUACUAACAAAAGGCCACAUGAGGACACAGUGAGAAGCUGGAAGUCUACAACCCAGAAGAGAGCCCUCAACAGAACCUAACCAUGCUGGUACCCUGAUCUCAGACAUCCAGCCUCCAGAAGAGUGAAAAAAUAUAAUUCUUAUUUCUAAGCAACCUGGUCUAUGGUAUUUCAUUAUGGCAGCCCAAGCUAAGACAGAUCCCUAUCCUAUUCACCAUGCUGCAGAGCCACAUGAGCCUCCCUUUUGUUCCUCAAGCUCAUCAAAUACCUCCUAGCCUUAGAACUUGCUAUUCCCUCUAACCAGAAUUCUCUUCCAGGUCUUUCCAUCCUGUAAGUCUUGUCCUUUAGAUCGAAAUUCACAUGUGACCUCCCCUGAGAAUGGUCCUCUGAAAACCUAUCUCAAAGAGUGUUCCCAGUUACUCUCUACCUUACCCCCAGGUUAUUAUCUUCCCACCACUUUUCCAUAUUUGUAAUCAUUUGCUUUUGUAUAUGUGUGAUAUGGUUAGGCUUAGUGUCCCUACCCAAAUCUCGUGUUAAAUUGUAAUCCCCAGGGAGAUUACAAUUUAGGGAGAGACCUGGUGGGAAGUGAUUGGAUUAUGGGGGUGGGUUCCCCCAUGCUGUUCUCGUGAUAGUGAGUGAAUUCUCAUAAGAUCUAAUGGUUUUGUAAAUGGUAGUUUUUCCUGUGCUGACUCAUUCUCUCUCCUGCUGCCUUGUGAAGAGGUGCCUUCUGUCAUGACUGUAAGUUUCCUGAAGCUUCCCCAACCAUGGGGAACUGUGAGUCAAUUAAACCUCUUUGCUUUAUAAAUUACCCAGUCUCAGGUAUUUCUU
rnacentral:lncRNA from 1 species